UUUUUUCUAUCUAUCAUUCUUAUUCUGAUUUCAUUCUUUUGCAUAUAAAUUGAUAGGAGAAUUUCACAUAAUUUUUUAUAAAAUAAAAAUGAAAAAUAAUACAAAGAAAUGAAUAGAUUAGGAACUAAACUCGAAAAUAUAUGAGAUUAUAAUUUAAAUGUUCCGGAAGCUUACGUUGACAAGGGAAUUUGGGAAGCAAAUUAGCAAUUUGCUUAGCAGUUUCUAAAUAUAAUUUAUGCUUAUUGAUAAUCCCAUUCCCAUCAUCAUUAAAACCAGCAAACGGCGAGUCGUUGUCAUGUUUCUGGUUUCCUACAACUAGGUCCUUAAAUGCCUUUUUCUUCAAAGACCAGCUUCCAGUUUUGAAAUCGAAGCCAUACAAUGGAAGAAAUCUCUGGCCAUAAAUAGCUAUAAAUUCCAGAGCUGCAAGAAUGAACUCAAAUUCCUCAUUGGACGUGUAGUAUGGGAAGCUAAUUCUUGUCCAUCCAGGCUUUACUCCAUGAUAUCCCUGCAUAUUAUCAUAGUCUGUUAUAUCGUACGAAAGAUUUUCUUGUCAUAAAAAAUCUAUAUAAACUUGACCCCCACAUGAGAAGGAAUUUUAUAACCAUUAGAUCAAAUAUUAUAAAACAUAAACAUGGAAGGGCUAUAUAUAAAUUUACCUGUUGUAUGGCAGAUCUAAAAUCAAGGGAGAAAGUCUCAUUGAUGUUAAGCAAAACAUGACCAUAAGGUCCAGCACAAGCACACCCACCCCUAGAUUGAAUCCCAAACAAGUCAUUCAGCAAAGCUGCAACGAAAGGUCCAUGUAGAGGCUUAUCUCUCUUGUUCCCUCUCUCUGUCCACAUGUAAAGAUCUCCUUCCUUUCCCUCUCUACGUUCACUAUCUUCAAUUCCAUUUGAGGAAGAGUUGGUAGUAGAAUAUACAAGGAAGGACAAUAUAGCUUUUCUCUUUACACUUGUGUUUCCUAAUACCCAUAUGUUCUCGUUGGACAUAAGCCUCUUUAAUGCAUUGUUUAUGUAAUAGGUUUCUUGUUUUUCUAUCAUUUGGUAGCCAAUGUAUUCUUUAACCCAGAAAGCCAAUGCUGCUCUAAUUGUUUGGAUUAUUUGUGGAGUCCCUCCAUUUUCUCUCUCUUCUAUCUCUUCCAAAUAUAAUGUAUCCUUUUCAUUGAAGCCACUGACAUAACAGACAGUUCCACCUCCGCAAGUAGAUGGUGGAGAAGAUCUCAGCUGAUACAGAGCUUUACUCAUCAGAAGAAUUCCAGGAGAUCCAGGCCCACCAAGAAACUUAUGUGGGCUAAGAAAAAUUGCAUCAUACCCAUCAAUUACCCCAGAUCUCAUGUCAAUCUCCACGUAGGGUCCACUGGCUGCAAAAUCAAAACAAACAAAACCUCCAUAGCGAUGAAGAAGCUGAGCAAUUCCUCGAGUAUCCGAAUAAAUCCCAGUCACAUUACUACAAGCUGAAAAUGACCCUAAUACUGGACGAUUGGCCUUUCUGUAAGUGUCCAGAAGUUUUUCCAGAGCUUCCAUGUCUAUCAAGCCAUCAUUAUCCAUGCCAAUUUCUAUAACUUCAGCUAAGCUUUGUCUCCAUGAAAGGAGGUUGGAGUGGUGCUCAUAAGGUCCAACGAAAACUACCCAUCUUUCCUCAUUUGUAAUGCAUUUAAUUAUCCUCUCUCUCAGAGUGGAGGGCGCAGCUAUGGCCAUUACCUCUUGUAGACGUUUAAUAGCUGCUGUGGUGCCUGAGCCACAGAACAUGAUUGCAUCCUCUUGUCCACCACCUAAGCUCUUCUUUAUGUAUUGAGUUGCUUCUUGUACCAUUUUGGUUGUUCUCUGCCCCACGUAACUGUCGCAAGUGUGAGUGUUCCCAUAAGAGGGAAGAACAUUGUUAAUGAUGAAAUUUUCAACAAAGCGAAGAGACUGGCCGGAGGCAGUAUGAUCAGCAUAGGUGAGUCUUCGUUUUCCAAAGGGAGAAUCAAAUUCUACAUCGUCACCAAUGAUUUGAGAGCGCAACCAAGCGAGUCUGUUUUCAGAAGAACUACUCUUCAGCACACCCAUCUCCAGAGUAGGAAAAGAUUUGGCGCGAUGACAAAGAUCAUAGUUGGAUGAAGAUGAUAAGGAUGGAGAGCUUGAGCUUCCUGCAACUGAUGUAACUGGGGUUUCUUCUCUUGGGAUGGAUUUUUCUAACUCCAUUCUUACAAUUCCGUAAACGGGUACUUUCAGUUCAGAGAGGAGGAGAGGUGAGGAAAUGGAUGAGGCUGCUGUGUGUAUUUAAAGGAGUUUAUGUGGUCCGA
rnacentral:misc_RNA from 1 species